CCGGCGCACGGGUGAGUAACACGUAUCCAACCUGCCGUCUACUCUUGGCCAGCCUUCUGAAAGGAAGAUUAAUCCAGGAUGGCAUCAUGAGUUCACAUGUCCGCAUGAUUAAAGGUAUUUUCCGGUAGACGAUGGGGAUGCGUUCCAUUAGAUAGUAGGCGGGGUAACGGCCCACCUAGUCAACGAUGGAUAGGGGUUCUGGGAGGAAGGUCCCCCACAUUGGAACUGAGACACGGUCCAA
rnacentral:rRNA from 1 species